AUUUUCAGAUGAAUGUGCGGAAUGCCAUGGAUGAGGAUAUAGCUGAAAAAGCACCAUAAAUGUGCAGAAUAUCAUGGAUGUGGGUCAAUCGAGGAUAUAGCUGAAAAACGAACUACAUUUUGUAUUUGCCAUUGCGGUGUUGGAUCGGACUAGAGACAGCAACUGAUAUUUCAGCUGACAAGAUUAUACAAUAUUGAGGUAAGUUGGGUUAAAACGCAUUUACGAAGUGUAUAUCUUGUGUGCCUUAGCUAUAUUCACAGAUUGAAAGACCUCCAAAGCAGAAAAAGAACAAGGUAGACAAAUGCAGCAAGACAGCUACAAAUACAAGGAGUCUAUAAAUCGAUAUUAGCUGACAAGAUGAUGAAUUAUUAAGUACAGUUUGUAUUUGAUAUGACGAUAUGGCAUUGCGGCGUCGGAUCAGACCUAAGACAGCAAUUGAUAUUCAACUGACAAGAUUAUAGAAUAUUGAGAUAAAUGUGCGGAAUGCCAUGGAUGUGGGUCAAUUCAGAAUAUAGCUGGAAAAGCAACCUUUAUUCGCAGAUUGAAAGAACUCCAAACCAGAAAAAGAACAUGGUACACAAUUGCAGCAAAACAACAAGUACAAGGAGUGAGUUAAGAUAUAUUCACAGGUCGAAAGAACUCAAAACCAGAAAAAGAGGAUGGCACACAAAUAUUUUAACUGACAAGAUGAUAGAAUAUAGAUUAAUGUGCGGAAUAUGCCAUGGAUGUGCCCAAUCGAGGAUAACUACUGUAACUAUAGCUGAGAAAAGAACUACAGUUUGGCAUUGCGGCAUCGAUCAGACAGGGAGAGCAACUGAUAUUUCAACUGACAAGAUUAUCGAAUAUUGAGGUAAGUCGGGUUUAAAAGCAUUAAUUUUUGCGAACUGUAUAUCUGGUGUGCUUUAGCUAUAUUCACAGAUUGAAGGACCUCCAAACCAGAAAAAGAACAUGGUAGACAAUUGCAGAAAGACAGCUACAAGGACUGAGUUAAGAUACAAAUCAAAACCAGAAAAAGAAGAUGGUACACAAAUUUGAUAUUUCAACUGACAAGAUGAUUGAAUAUUAAGAUAAAUGUGCGGAAUGCCUUGGAUGUGGGCCAAUCGAGUAUAAAGCUGGAACGUAGACGGGCAAGAUGUCAUGAUGUGCGCAAAUCGAGAAUGUAGAUGGAAAGGCACGCAAUUUCAUUUUAGGAGCACCCAUUUUCUUAUAAAAUCGCAUUAAUAAUAAUCAUGGUAUUUCAAAUGGCUAAUUCUCGAUGAUUAUAAAUACAUGUAUGUAAGUUUAUUUAUAAUUCUGACUUUGUUUUGCCGGCCCUUAUCAAUGUUUGUAUUAUGCAAUGUUUUUCAUUUGUAAAUUUAUACCUCAACAGUUAUAUACAAAUAUUUAAUUUAUAAAAUAGCUAUAAAUAUAUAUAAUAUAUUUAAAAUAUAAAUAAAUAUAAUUUAAUCGAAAUACUAAUGCCAUUAUUCAUUACAUCAUACUAAUUGCACUCAUACUUUUUCUAACUAAAAGGUAUCUUCCUCUUUUGUAAGUUUCCUCUUAGUGGGAGGUUCUAGGCAUCCGAUUAGCUAGGUGGCUAUAGUAAGCUGUAGUUAAGUACAGUUAGGGUAAUUAAGCACUAAGAGGAAUGAUACCAUUUAUACUCAUUCAAAUUCAUUAUCACUUUAUUUUUUGUUGUUUCUGUGCUGUUUCUUGAAGGUACCUUUCUCCAUCCCUGGCUUGUAGAGUAAGUAUAGGUAGGUUAUGUAAGUAUUAGGAACAGAGAAAUGGUGCCUUUUCUACUUCGCUUCUUUUCCUUCAUUUUUGUUUUGUCAUUCAUAUAAAAUACAUAAAAUUAAAAUUGAUAUAAUAUAAAUUAUAUAGAAUAAAUUGAUAUUUUCAAUAGUAAUUAAUUGAUGAUAGGAAUGAUAAAAUAAACAUAAAAUUAAAUCAAAAUUAAAUAAAAUGUAACUGUUGAGGUAAUUUGUAUUUUAUGCAUGUUGUUAUUUAUAGGCCUACAAUGAGUUUAAUUGCAUAAACACGUGUGGUUAAGCUCACGGGGCAGUGACAAGGGUGAGAAUUCAGAUCUUUCCUUACUGGAGCUAAUCUCCUGUCACUGUCGUGUGGUUUUCCCCGAGUACUUCGGUUUCCUCCACACACAAUUCACUACUCUUCUCUAUUCGGAAAAUUUUUAUUCAUUUCGGACAUUUUUUGACAGUGAAUAAAAUAAG
rnacentral:lncRNA from 1 species